rnacentral:lncRNA from 1 species
ACUAGAUCAAAAUAUUUUGUUUCUUAUAGCCCUGGAAGGAUGUCUGCAUAAAUAAAAUAUUUUACAGGGUCUUAACAGAAACAAUUUCAUCUUUUAACAGCCCUCUAAGGAUUUCAGUAUAAAUAAAAUAUUUAACAGGGACUUAAUAGAAACAUUUUCAUCUUUUAACAGCCCUCUAAGACUUCAGUAUAAAUAGAAUGUUUCACAGGGACUUAACAGAAACAUUUUCAUUCUUUUUAACAUCCUGGAAGGGCUGUAUGCAUAAAUAAAAUGUUCCAUAGGGGCUUAACUGAAAAUUCCUCUUUUACUGGCCAAACGAAUUCGGGUUUCGGAUCGAAACCCAAA